CAAGUUUAGAACACGUGACUUCCUCACUAAUUAUAUUUAAACUGCACACAGUAAGAAAUCAAAUUCCUCAUAGGACACUGGAGAAAGCCUGAAUUCUUAAUCUUCAAAGAAAAAACACCAAAAGGACAAUGAUGUUCAGGCUGCCACUCCUCGGCCUGUUCCUCCUCGUUGUUGAUAACACUUCGGGGACAAGUCCACCACCGCUGACCUCAAGUUCUACAGCAGUCUCUCAGGCCAUGCCGAGCGUGAGUUCUCAGACAAGCCCAAAUCCCAGGGCAACUCCAGACAUCCACGUGACCCAAAGUGUCAAGAAGCACUCAAUUUCUACAACAAACCUGAAUUCCAAAACAACCUUGAAUCAGGCACCUCUGAAAACAUCAGGGAACCCAAAGACAACUAUCCCCAUGAAUACGACGACUAUGACGAGUGUUGGUACCACGCUGAAUCCAACGGGCAGCACUCCCUUUCUUUGCUACGUAAUAUUUUUGCUGUUUUGUGUGCAAUCAGCCUGACUUGGACUUGAGCUCUCUACAUUCCCAUCUCAGUUCUUUAUCAUCUGCUGAAUGAUAACAAGCACACGAGGAAAAUCAAAUUUAUUUCAACUUACUUCCUAGGAAGUUACCAUUAUCCUAGCUUAAUUUGGUUGUUUGCAAAUUUUAGUUGUGUAAGCCUAAUUAUUACCUCAAUACGGUUUCCUUCCUUAUAAAUGCUUU